UACGUAGGGCGCAAGCGUUGUCCGGAAUUAUUGGGCGUAAAGAGCUCGUAGGCGGUCUGUCGCGUCGGAUGUGAAAGCCCGGGGCUUAACCCCGGGUCUGCAUUCGAUACGGGCAGACUAGAGUGUGGUAGGGGAGAUCGGAAUUCCUGGUGUAGCGGUGAAAUGCGCAGAUAUCAGGAGGAACACCGGUGGCGAAGGCGGGUCUCUGGGCAUCUCCUGACGCUGAGGCGCGAAAGCGUGGGGAGCAAACGGG
rnacentral:rRNA from 1 species